AUUGAACGCUGGCGGCAGGCCUAACACAUGCAAGUCGGGCGAGCGGCGGACGGGUGAGUAAUGUAUGGGGAUCUGCCUGAUGGCGGGGGAUAACUACUGGAAACUGUAGCUAAUACCGCGUACCAUAGGCUGAGCCCAAGUGGGAUUAGGGAGUUGGUGAGGUAAAGGCGCACCAAUCCAACGAUCUCUAGCUGGUCUGAGAGGAUGAUCAGCAACACUGGGUCCUGGAAACGGUCUAGACUCCUACGUGAGGCAGCAGUGGGGAACAUUGCGCAAUGGGGGCAACCUGAUGCAGCCACGCCGCGUGAUUGAAGAAGUCCUUCGGUUUGUAAAGUUUUUUCGGUAGAGAGGCGUUAACUACAGAAGAAGCACCGGCUAACUCCGUGCCAGCCGCCGCGGUAAUAC
rnacentral:rRNA from 1 species